rnacentral:rRNA from 1 species
GAUGAACGCUGGCGGCGUGCCUAAUACAUGCAAGUAGAACGCUGAAGGAGGAGCUUGCUCUUCUGGAUGAGUUGCGAACGGGUGAGUAACGCGUAGGUAACCUGCCUGGUAGCGGGGGAUAACUAUUGGAAACGAUAGCUAAUACCGCAUGACAACAGUUAUUGCAUGAUAACUGUUUAAAAGGGGCAACUGCUCCACUACCAGAUGGACCUGCGUUGUAUUAGCUAGUUGGUGAGGUAACGGCUCACCAAGGCGACGAUACAUAGCCGACCUGCGAGGGGGGUCAGCCACACUGGGACGGAGACACGGCCCAGUCUCCUACGGGAGGCAGCAAUAGGGAAUCGUGGGCCAGGGGCGGAAGUCUGACCGAGCAACGCCGAAUGAGCGAAGAAGGUUUUCGGGUCGGAAAGCUCUGUUGUAAGGGAAGAACGAGUGUGAGAGUGGAAAGUUCACACUGUGACGGUAUCUUACCAGAAAGGAACGGCUAACUACGUG